rnacentral:rRNA from 1 species
UGGGGAAUCUUGCGCAAUGGGCGAAAGCCUGACGCAGCGACGCCGCGUGUGGGAUGACGGCCUUCGGGUUGUAAACCACUGUCGGGAGGGACGAAGCUCUGACGGUACCUCCAAAGGAAGCACCGGCUAACUCUGUGCCAGCAGCCGCGGUAAUACAGAGGGUGCGAGCGUUGUCCGGAAUCACUGGGCGUAAAGGGCGCGUAGGCGGCCUGAUAAGUCGGGGGUGAAAUCCUGUGGCUCAACCACAGGGCUGCCUCCGGGACUGUCGGGCUCGAGCACAGUAGAGGCAGGUGGAAUUCCCGGUGUAGCGGUGGAAUGCGUAGAGAUCGGGAAGAACAUCGGUGGCGAAGGCGGCCUGCUGGGCUGUUGCUGACGCUGAGGCGCGACAGCGUGGGGAGCAAACAGG